AUGAUAAACCCCUUAAGACCUUAUUCUAAUAACACUUGGGCUUAUUUUGAUAACACCCCGAAACGAACCGGACACAGCAAAGACCAAAAAAAGAAGCAUCCCACCUCACCCGUGCAGCCCACUACCCAUCUUCCCCAGUCCCCACCCCCCGCACCACAACCCUCCUCCCACUUCCUCCCGCAGCUGGCGCGCCCCCAACCCCCUCCCACGGUCGGCGCCCACCUAGCUACCUCCCAUGGCCACCGCGCUCCAACCCCUUCCAACCACUGGCGACCCCAGCGGCCAUGGUGGGAGCCGGCCGCCACAGGAAUCCUGCGAGGCCUCCACCACCGGAUCCGGCCUCCAUGGCCAUCGGCGCAACCACAAGCCGACGGAUCCGACUACGAUCGACCACCUCCCGCGCGUGGUGGCCGGAUGGGAGGGCCGACGAGCUCCAUGCCAUGCUGGGCUCCUCCAGUGCCACCACUUCCUUCUUCCCCUUGGGCCGUACUACCUCCCGCUCUGCCUCCCCGCACUUUUCCGGCGAGCCGCCAAUCCUCCACGCGCGUUGCCAGUGCCCCGGCCUUUCUUCCCGCAACGCAUCCCGACCCUUCUGCCCCCGCCCGCCUCACCCCGCCACCUCCCGGCGCACCUCCACCCCCUUGCAGGCCACGGAUCUGUGGCCCUCAAUCCUUCCCCGGGGCGGAUCUAAGUGAGGCCGAGGGGCACCGUCGCAUCUCCUUCCCCUUCCCCCGGCAUCGUCGACCAUCCCCUCGCCUCGAUCUACAGCGACACCGACAACCGGCAGUAGGGUGCGCUGCCCUUCCUCUCCCCUCGAUUUUUUGGGGCGCCGACGACACAACGCGGUAUCCGGCGGUCAGGCUCGGGGGUGGAGGCCGCCGCCGAUCCCCUGCUUGA
rnacentral:rRNA from 1 species